AGGGAUAGAUAACUGCUGAAAAUGUGAUUCAGCAGGUAGAAUGGAUGAAUAGUCAAGAAAAGUAGUUAUCAUCUGUAGUAUAGGAGUUGGUAUCUCGGGGUAGUAUAAGGAGGAUGGGACAGGGGAAGAAAAUGCCAGACUGUGAGAGUUGUGAGCCGGGGUAAGUUUGGUGCUACCUCUUUUCUUUUGUUUGUUAUUUUCUUUGAAUAAGUGGAUUGAAAGUUUCUGAAUAUUAUGAAGUGAAUUAUGGAAUGGAAAUGUGAUUGGUAUUAUUUGAGAAGAAGAAAGAUUGAAUGCUGAAAUCUAAUUGUAGUUCAGCAGAGAGAAUGAGUUUGUGUUUGUUUGAAACACCGUAAUGUGAAUGGCAGUUCUGUGUGAAGAAUUCCAAUGAUUGGAAUGAGGGUAAUUGUGUGUUGGAAGCUGUGAGGGCGUAGUAUUACAGUUGGAAAUUAUGAAGGUGAAUAUAUUGGUGGAAAUAGCAGUUAUUGAUAUGAUUGAAUUGCUAUAAGGAAGAGACCGAUAAGGUGAAAGAGGAGAUUGUAGUUUCUUUGUGUGUUCAAAUAUUGAA
rnacentral:lncRNA from 1 species